GGGAGAACAAAGCUGCUGCCGCUGCCGCCUCCGUGUGAGCCGGCCGUCCAUUCUCCUGUUCAGGAGGCACCCCCCAGGGAUCCCUCUGCCGUGUGACUGGCCAGCAGGGGGCAGUGAUAACUCUCUAUCCACUUAUCACACACAGUGAGGGGCCCGUGACCUUCGAGGAGGUGGCUGCGUAUUUCACCAG